rnacentral:lncRNA from 1 species
AGCUUCUACUUCAACAAGUUGUGAAUAUGAUUGAAGGGCAGCCAUUAUUGAAUCGCUUCAUGUGGGAAAAAUGCUGAAGGAAAUCAUUGCAUAUUUUGGCUACAAGAAGAUUCAAGUUUAUGAUAUAGAGAUUCAGGGAGUCUAGCAUGGGUGAACUUACUCCUGACAGACCCAAACACAGAAAGAUAUCUGAUUGCAAGAGGAGUGACAAACUUGUCUCUGAAUUGAAAGAGAAGUUCAACCAGAAUCUAGGGUGGAACAUGGCUAACCUGGCAAAAAAAAAUGGGUGUGCUAAGAUCAACAGUCAGUCUGGCAGUGCAGAAAAAUUUUGUUCUCAGGAACCGACAACUGUUGACUGAAAAGAACAAGAUCAGUUGGAAAGUGAAGGCCCAGGCUCUGCUUAAUGACAUCAACUAUGAUAGUGCUAAUUUCCUG